CCUACGGGGGGCUGCAGUGGGGAAUUUUGGACAAUGGGGGCAACCCUGAUCCAGCCAUGCCGCGUGAGUGAAGAAGGCCUUCGGGUUGUAAAGCUCUUUUGGUCGGGAAGAAAGUGCUCUGCAUAAUACGUGGGGUAUUUGACGGUACCGGCAGAAUAAGCACCGGCUAACUACGUGCCAGCAGCCGCGGUAAUACGUAGGGUGCGAGCGUUAAUCGGAAUUACUGGGCGUAAAGCGUGCGCAGGCGGUUCGUUAAGUCUGAUGUGAAAGCCCCGGGCUCAACCUGGGAAUGGCAUUGGAAACUGGCGGGCUGGAGUAUGGCAGAGGGGGGUGGAAUUCCACGUGUAGCAGUGAAAUGCGUAGAGAUGUGGAGGAACACCGAUGGCGAAGGCAGCCCCCUGGGCCAAUACUGACGCUCAGGCACGAAAGCGUGGGGAGCAAACAGGCUUAGAUACCCCAGUAGUC
rnacentral:rRNA from 1 species